rnacentral:rRNA from 1 species
CCGGAAUCAUUGGGCGUAAAGCGCGCGUAGGCGGCCAGCCAAGUCCGGUGUGAAAGUCACAGGCUCAACCUGUGAAUGCCGCUGGAAACUGUCUGGCUAGAGUCCGGAAGGGGCGAGUGGAAUUCCUGGUGUAGCGGUGAAAUGCGCAGAUAUCAGGAGGAACACCUAUGGCGAAGGCAGCUCGCUGGGACGGUACUGACGCUGAGGAGCGAAAGCGUGGGGAGCGAUCCGG